rnacentral:rRNA from 1 species
GACGAACGCUGGCGGCGCGCCUAACACAUGCAAGUCGAACGAGCGAGAGAGAGCUUGCUUUCUUGAGCGAGUGGCGAACGGGUGAGUAACGCGUGAGGAACCUGCCUCAAAGAGGGGGACAACAGUUGGAAACGACUGCUAAUACCGCAUAAGCCCACGGUGCCGCAUGGCACAGAGGGAAAAGGAGCAAUCCGCUUUGAGAUGGCCUCGCAUCCGAUUAGCUAGUUGGUGAGGUAACGGCCCACCAAGGCGACGAUCGGCAGCCGGACUGAGAGGUUGAACGGACACACUGGGACUGAGACACGGCCCAGAAUCCUACGGGAGGCAGCAGUGGGGAAUAUUGCAAAAUGGGGUAAACCCUGAUGCAGCGACGCCGGGUGGAGGAAGAAGGUCUUCGGAUAGUAAACUCCUGUUGUUGGGGAAGAUAAUGACGGUACCCAAAAAGGAAGUGACGGCUAACUACGUG